UACGUAGGGUGCAAGCGUUAAUCGGAAUUACUGGGCGUAAAGCGUGCGUAGACGGUUAUGUAAGUCAGAUGUGAAAGCCCCGGGCUUAACCUGGGAAUGGCAUUUGUGACUGUAGAGCUGGAGUGCGGCAGAGGGGGAUGGAAUUCCGCGUGUAGCAGUGAAAUGCGUAGAUAUGCGGAGGAACACCGAUGGCGAAGGCAAUCCCCUGGGCCUGCACUGACGCUCCAUGCACGAAGCGUGGGAGCAAACAGG
rnacentral:rRNA from 1 species